UUGUUGGUAAGGUAAAAGCUUACCAAGGCUUCGAUCAGUAGCUGGUCUGAGAGGACGACCAGCCACACUGGGACUGAGACACGGCCCAGACUCCUACGGGAGGCAGCAGUGGGGAAUUUUGGACAAUGGGGGCAACCCUGAUCCAGCCAUGCCGCGUGAGUGAAGAAGGCCUUCGGGUUGUAAAGCUCUUUCAGCCGGAACGAAACGGUUACGGAUAACACCCGUGACUACUGACGGUACCGGAAGAAGAAGCACSGGCUAACUACGUGCCAGCAGCCGCGGUAAUACGUAGGGUGCGAGCGUUAAUCGGAAUUACUGGGCGUAAAGCGUGCGCAGGUGGUUUUGUAAGUCAGAUGUGAAAGCCCCGGGCUCAACCUGGGAACUGCGUUUGAAACUACAAGACUAGAGUGUGGCAGAGGGGGGUGGAAUUCCGCGUGUAGCAGUGAAAUGCGUAGAGAUGUGGAGGAACACCGAUGGCGAAGGCAGCCCCCUGGGUCAACACUGACGCUCAGGCACGAAAGCAUGGGGAGCAAACAGGAUUAGAUACCCUGGUAGUCCAUGCCCUAAACGAUGUCAACUAGUUGUCGGGCCUUUACGGGCUUGGUAACGUAGCUAACGCGUGAAGUUGACCGCCUGGGGAGUACGAUCGCAAGAUUAAAACUCAAAUGAAUUGACGGGGACCCGCACAAGCGGUGGAUUAUGUGGAUUAAUUCGAUGCAACGCGAAAAACCUUACCUACCCUUGACAUGUAUCGAAGCCCGCAGAAAAGCGGGGGUGCCCGAAAGGGAACGAUAACACAGGUGCUGCAUGGCUGUCGUCAGCUCGUGUCGUGAGAUGUUGGGUUAAGUCCCGCAACGAGCGCAACCCUUGUCAUUAAUUGCCAUCAUUUAGUUGGGCACUUUAAUGAGACUGCCGG
rnacentral:rRNA from 1 species